CCUACGGGUGGCAGCAGUGGGGAAUAUUGGACAAUGGGGGCAACCCUGAUCCAGCCAUGCCGCGUGUGUGAAGAAGGCCCUCGGGUUGUAAAGCACUUUCAGUGAGGAAGAACGCCUGGUGGUUAAUACCCAUCAGGAAAGACAUCACUCACAGAAGAAGCACCGGCUAACUCCGUGCCAGCAGCCGCGGUAAUACGGAGGGUGCGAGCGUUAAUCGGAAUUACUGGGCGUAAAGCGCGCGUAGGUGGCUUGAUAAGCCGGUUGUGAAAGCCCCGGGCUCAACCUGGGAACGGCAUCCGGAACUGUCAAGCUAGAGUGCAGGAGAAGAAGGUAGAAUUCCCGGUGUAGCGGUGAAAUGCGUAGAGAUCGGGAGGAAUACCAGUGGCGAAGGCGGCCUUCUGGACUGACACUGACACUGAGGUGCGAAAGCGUGGGUAGCAAACAGGAUUAGAUACCCUUGUAGUC
rnacentral:rRNA from 1 species